rnacentral:rRNA from 1 species
AUUGAACGCUGGCGGCAGGCCUAACACAUGCAAGUCGAACGAGUAGCAGACGGGUGAGUCAUGUCUGGGAAACUGCCCGAUGGAGGGGGAUAACUACUGGAAAAGGUAGCUAAUACCGCAUACCAUCGGAUGUGCCCAGAUGGGAUUAGCUAGUAGGGGGGGUAACGGCUCACCUGGGCGAAGAUCCCUCGAUGGUCUGAGAGGAUGACCAGCCACUCUGGAACUGGGACACGGUCCAGACUCCUACGGGAGGCAGCAGUGGGGAAUAUGGCACAAUGGUCGCAAGCCUGAUGCAGCCAUGCCGCGUGUAUGAAGAAGGCCUUGGGGUUGUAAAGUACUUGCAGCGAGGAGGCGUUACUCGCAGAAGAAGCACCGGCUAACUCCGUGCCAGCAGCCGCGGUAAUUC